AUCCAGACCAGCAGGUGGCGCUGAUUAUUAACAAGCUAAAGCAGGAUGAACGCAGACAAAACGACAGACGAGAAAUACCUUUGUUAUGGAUGUGAAAAUAAGAGAUGGAUAGACCCUUCAGUGACAUUUUAUCAACGCACAAUGUCUAAACUGCAGAUUUUAAGUGUUUUUCUGACAGAGAGAUUAACAUUAGCUGCGCAGGAGAUAUUUAAGGCUGUGGAAGACAUAUUUUCAGAGUAUAAUGAGGAGAUUUGUCGCUCCAGACUGGAGAUUGAGCUGCUCAAGAGGAGACUGCAGCAGGCAGGAGUUCAGAUGGACUCUGUAACACAGCUUUGCUCCACUGAGACUCAAGGACAGAAAUACACCCAGACAUUUUCAGAGGAAUGGAGAUCUGAACAUGACUUGAAGGAUACAGCAAUGCAUAUGAUCCUAGAUAUUUGUACAAAGGAGGAGGAGAAUGAAGAGGACAUGCCUGUGUGCGGUGAAUCAGCAUCCUUAUCACCAUGUAUGGACAUUUAUCAUGAUCAGACGCCCAGCAAAGACACUGAAACCCAAGUGAUGGACAGUAGUGAGAAUAAUUUUCCCUUUAUUAACAAAGCAGCUCGAAUUAAGAAUGAGCCUGAGACUAAUACUGAAACAGGUACCACCUGCCAAAUACAGCAGAACAUCACAAAACAAGAUUUGGAUGAUUCAGGGGCCAGUGAUGCGUCCAGUGACGUCAACAAAGUCAAAGUUAGCCACGUUGGCUUCCCCAGACAUGAGACACAAACAUUUAAUCUGCCCCUCAGAAAUCAAGAGAUGUUGACGCAGCAUCGGAUGGAGCUGGCCCAGAUAAGAGAGAGAUUGGCAGAUGAAGAGCGAAAGAAGGCCGCAGCAAAAGCUAGAUCCCUAAAGCACAAGCAGAAAGUAUACGGGAAUCCUGAGCUUCGUGAGGCAUGCAGGAAAAAGGAGAGAGAGAGAUAUCAAAGACGAAAAUCUCAGGGGAAAGUGAAAUUCGCUAAAGAUCUGAACCCAAUAGAACUGAGAAGGCAGCAGAAAAAGUGGAGGGAGAAUUCAGCCGCUUACAGGAGAAAGAAAGCAUUUCAGGAUGUUUUAGUCAACAUUAACGAAGACAUUAAUCAAGUCAUUCCAGAGCCAGUGCCGACCACCUCCUCUGCUCAACAUUAUGGUGUUUUUAAUGUUCACUGAGAUAUGCGCAAAAAUAUUCUUCUAUCCCUGUUACUCAGCUGGUAGAUUAUGUGAGUAUGUCACUAGCCAGUGCCAAGGCCAUUGGUACGAUUCCCAGAAAAUACACUUGAUGAUGAAAUCAGUGUAUUUAAUGUGCUUUACAACAUCUGCCAAAUGCAUGAAUGUAAAUAUUCCAUUAAAAAAAUAAACUGCAUGCAGUUUCUAACAGAAAUACUAGCAAAUACACA
rnacentral:lncRNA from 1 species